AAAGGUUGUGAGAUCAAAGUCGAGUAAUACUAAUCAUCCGAAGCUUUCAAGAG
rnacentral:rRNA from 1 species